rnacentral:rRNA from 1 species
GACGAACGCUGGCGGCGUGCUUAACACAUGCAAGUCGAACGGAAAGGCCCCUUUGGGGGUACUCGAGUGGCGAACGGGUGAGUAACACGUGAGUAACCUGCCCUUGACUUCGGGAUAACUUCAGGAAACUGGGGCUAAUACCGGAUAGGAAUCCUUGCUGCAUGGUGGGGGUUGGAAAGCUUCGGCGGUUUUGGAUGGACUCGCGGCUUAUCAGCUUGUUGGUGGGGUAGUGGCUUACCAAGGCUUUGACGGGUAGCCGGCCUGAGAGGGCGACCGGCCACAUUGGGACUGAGAGACGGCCCAGACUCCUACGGGAGGCAGCAGUGGGGAAGAUUGCACAAUGGGCGGAAGCCUGAUGCAGCAACGCCGCGGGCGGGAUGACGGCCUUCGGGUUGUAAACCGCUUUCAGCAGGGGCGAAGCUUGUGGUGACGGUACCUGCAGAAGAAGCACCGGCUAACUACGUG